rnacentral:rRNA from 1 species
CCUACGGGAGGCAGCAGUGAGGAAUAUUGGGCAAUGGAGGCAACUCUGACCCAGCCAUGCCGCGUGAGUGAAGAAGGUUUUCGGAUUGUAAAGCUCUUUCGGAUGUGACGAUGAUGACGGUACCUGAGUAAGAAGCCCCGGCUAACUACGUGCCAGCAGCCGCGGUAAUACGUAGGGGGCAAGCGUUAUCCGGAAUUACUGGGUGUAAAGGGAGCGUAGACGGUAAUUCAAGUCUGGAGUGAAAGGCGGGGGCCCAACCCCCGGACUGCUCUGGAAACUGUGUAACUGGAGUGCAGGAGAGGCAGGCGGAAUUCCUAGUGGAGCGGUGAAAUGCGUAGAGAUUAGGAGGAACACCAGUGGCGAAGGCGGCCUGCUGGACUGUAACUGACGUUGAGGCUCGAAAGCGUGGGGAGCAAACAGGAUUAGAUACCCGGGUAGUC